rnacentral:rRNA from 1 species
GACGAACGCUGGCGGCGUGCUUAACACAUGCAAGUCGAACGGAAAGGCCCUGCUUUUGUGGGGUGCUCGAGUGGCGAACGGGUGAGUAACACGUGAGUAACCUGCCCUUGACUUUGGGAUAACUUCAGGAAACUGGGGCUAAUACCGGAUAGGAGCUGCUGCUGCAUGGUGGGGGUUGGAAAGUUUCGGCGGUUGGGGCUGGACUCGCGGCUUAUCAGCUUGUUGGUGGGGGAGUGGCUUACCAAGGCCUUGGCGGGUAGCCGGCCUGAGAGGGUGACCGGCCCCAUUGGGCCUGAGGUAGGGGCCAGAGUGCAACGGGAGGCAGCGGUGGAGAAUAUUCCACGAUGGGCGGACGGCUGGAAGAACGGCGCCGCGUGCGGGAUGACGGCCUUCAGGGUAUAAACAGCUUUAGCCUGUGACGAAGCGUGAGUGACGGUAAUGGAUGAAGAAGCAACGGCUAACUACGUG